UAGAAGACUGGAUGUUAGGAAGUAAUGUAUUCACUAAGGGACCUAAAGGUUAUGUGUUUAGUCUUUAUGGAGCCUUUGGCAAGGCUGAAACAUCUGUCUAAUAUCCCAUCAUUUU
rnacentral:pre_miRNA from 1 species